CUUGUUACCAGAAAGAACUUCAAUCUCUGCUUGGUUCGCUCAAUUUUGCCAUGAGAAUCAUUCCUUUAGGGUAUAUCUUUCAUUUCCCGUCUACUUUCUUUGCUCCCGGACCUCCCCUCAGACAGACACACAUGCAACGGCUGACUUACUUAUGUGACGCACUUUUCUCACAUCUUGGAAUGGGCAAGUCAUGUUCCUACCCCCACUUUCCGACAAUUCUCCUAUACGCUGGACAGAUG